CGUAGACAACCUGCCUUUCAGUGGGGGAUAACUGUGGGAAACUGCAGCUAAUACCGCAUAGGGCGGAAGAGGGCUUCCUCUUCAUGCUAAAGGAGCAAUUCGCUGGGAGAUGGGUCUGCGGCCUAUCAGCUAGCUGGUGAGGUAACGGCUCACCAGGGCGACGACGGGUAGCUGGUCUGAGAGGAUGAUCAGCCGGACGGGGACUGAGACACGGCCCCG
rnacentral:rRNA from 1 species